rnacentral:rRNA from 1 species
GACGAACGCUGGCGGCGUGCCUAAUACAUGCAAGUCGAACGCAGUGGGGACGGGUGAGUAACACGUGGGUAACCUCCCAUCAGAGGGGAUAACACUUGGAAACAGGUGCUAAACCGAUACUGAUAGCUGGACCCGCUGUGCAUGAGCUAGUUGGUGAGGUAACAGCUCACCAAGGCCCCGAUGCAUAGACGGCCUGGGAGGGUGAUCGGCGACACUAGGACUGAGACACGGCCCAGCAUCCUACGGGAGGCAGCAGUAGGGAAUAUUCGGCAAUGGACGAAAGUCUGACGGAGCAACGCCGCGUGAGUGAAGAAGGUUUUCGGGUUGUAAAGCUCUGUUGUUAGAGAAGCGGUAUCUAACGAGAAAGCACCGGCUAACUACGUGCCAGCAGGCGCGGUAAUUC